rnacentral:rRNA from 1 species
UUUAAACGUAAAUUAUAUAAAUUUGAGUAGUAUUAGUUAUGUUCUUGAAACUCAAAGAAUUUGGCGGUGUUUUAGUCUGUUCAGAGGAACCUGUCCCGUAAUCGAUAUUCCACGUUAAACCUUACUUAUUUUUGUUGUCAGCUUGUAUACCGCCGUCGUCAGAAUGUCCUAAGAAGGAUUUAAUUUUCUUAAAUUUUUAUUAAAAAUGAUGUCAGGUCAAGGUGUAGCUUACGAAUAAGUGGUGAUGGGUUACAAUAAAUUUAUUUAUAACGGAUGAAGUUUUGAAAUAAUCUUCUGAAGGUGGAUUUGACGGUACUUAACUUACUCAAAUUAAUUUGAUUUUAGCUCUAAAACAUGC